CCAUUCCAUAUAUAACACACCUUGCUUGUCUCAGCCAAAUCGCACCCUCUUCAUCUCUAAGAAACAUGACAGAGCCCGGUUGACUUUCACUUUGAACACCUCAGUACUAGAACAGAUCACAUAGGAUGCAAAGAGACGCUACUUCAGCAGGAAGCAAUCACCCACCAAGAACUCAGCUGAUAUGCCUCAAUCCUUUUCUCCUUUCGCUGACCAUACCCCUGCUACUUUUGAACUCUUCACUGUUUCUCAAUCUGAUGCUGGGCCAAAUCAACAGGAAAGUGAAGAAAACCUAACUACGACCUUUUAAACUCAAGUUCCAUGUGGUUCAUGCAUUGUGCUGCAAGUUCCUCUUUCUCUCUCUUUUUAAAAUAAUUGUUAUUGGAAUUUUAUUUACAACAUAAACCCCCACCCACCCCAAUACACAAUCCACCCUCAUUAAACGUGAACAUAACAAACAGUGAGCAUAACAUACAACAAGACAAACAAUGAAAUAAAAGACUUCCUUUAUCCUGUA